rnacentral:rRNA from 1 species
UACCACAGUCAAAUCACCCUGCAGCCCAAGACCGGUUACUCACUGAAGCUAAGCAGGGCUGAGCCUGGUCAGUACCUGGAUGGGAGACCACAUGGGAAAACUAGGUUGAUGUUGGAA